AUGAGACGGGGAGCUUGGAUGCGUGUCCGGUAGGAGUGACACGUGUGGAUAAGGGCACAUCCAGGGGCAAUACAUUUUUCAAUUAGUUUUUAAGUAAAUUGGGAUUUGAUUGUUCAAUAAGUUUAUUUUUCCUCCACAAAACUGCAAACAUGGGACGUGGAGAAGGACGGGAACAGUAUGAGCUGGCGGCGACCUCUGAGCAGGGAGGCAAGAAGAAGAAUGCCAAGGCCAUGAAGAAGGAGAGGGACAUGGAUGAGUUGAAAAAGGAAGUUGAUCUGGAUGACCAUAAACUGACCCUGGAUGAGCUCAACCGCAAAUACGGCACCGACCUUAGUAGGGGGUUAUCCAGUGCUAAGGCUGCCGAGAACCUUGCCCGUGAUGGCCCCAAUUCCCUGACCCCUCCUCCCACUACCCCUGAGUGGGUGAAGUUCUGCAAGCAGAUGUUUGGCGGGUUCUCCAUGCUGCUGUGGACUGGCGCUCUCCUCUGCUUCCUGGCCUACGGAAUCCAGGCAGCCAUGGAGGAUGAGCCGGCCAAUGAUAACUUGUACCUGGGUGUUGUACUCUCUGCUGUUGUCAUUGUUACUGGCUGUUUCUCCUACUACCAAGAGGCCAAGAGCUCAAAGAUCAUGGACUCCUUCAAGAACCUGGUCCCACAGCAAGCCCUGGUUGUCCGUGAUGGUGAGAAGAUGAACAUCAACGCUCAACAAGUGGUGGUUGGAGAUCUGGUGGAGGUGAAAGGUGGAGAUAGGAUUCCCGCCGAUUUGCGAAUCAUCUCUGCCAGCGGUUGCAAAGUGGACAACUCCUCCCUCACUGGUGAAUCUGAGCCCCAAACCCGUACUCCGGACUACUCCAAUGACAACCCCUGGAGACAAGGAACAUUGCCUUCUUCUCUACCAACUGUGUUGAAGGAACUGCCAGAGGUAUUGUCAUCAACACUGGUGACCGCACUGUUAUGGGUCGUAUUGCUACCCUCGCCUCUGGCCUGGAAGUCGGACGUACCCCAAUCUCUAUUGAAAUUGAGCACUUCAUCCACAUCAUCACCGGUGUGGCCGUCUUCCUGGGCAUGUCUUUCUUUGUCCUGUCCCUCAUCCUCGGAUACUCUUGGCUGGAAGCUGUCAUCUUCCUCAUCGGAAUCAUUGUCGCUAAUGUGCCUGAGGGUCUCCUGGCCACUGUAACUGUGUGUUUAACUCUGACUGCCAAGCGUAUGGCCAAGAAGAACUGCCUGGUGAAGAAUCUCGAAGCUGUUGAGACCUUGGGCUCCACCUCCACCAUUUGCUCUGACAAGACCGGAACCCUGACUCAGAACAGAAUGACCGUGGCUCACAUGUGGUUCGACAACCAGAUCCAUGAGGCUGACACCACAGAGAACCAGAGCGGUACCUCCUUCGACAGGAGCUCUGCCACCUGGGCUGCCCUGGCUAGAGUCGCUGGCCUGUGUAACCGUGCCGUCUUCCUGGCAGAACAGAGCGGUAUUCCUAUCCUUAAAAGAGAUGUGGCUGGUGAUGCCUCAGAGUCUGCCCUGCUGAAGUGUAUUGAGCUGUGCUGUGGGUCUGUGCAAGGCAUGAGAGACCAGUACACCAAGGUUGCUGAGAUCCCAUUCAACUCCACCAACAAAUACCAGCUCUCCGUUCACCUAAACAAGAAUGAGGGUGAGUCCAAGCAUCUGCUGGUGAUGAAGGGAGCCCCUGAGAGGAUCCUGGACCGCUGCUCCACCAUUUUGAUCCAGGGCAAAGAACAGCCUCUGGAUGACGAGAUGAAGGACUCUUUCCAGAACGCCUACAUGGAACUGGGUGGUCUGGGAGAGCGAGUGCUGGGGUUCUGUCAUUUCCAGCUCCCUGAUGACCAGUUCGCUGAGGGCUUCCAGUUUGAUUGUGAAGAGGUGAACUUCCCAACUGAGAAUCUGUGCUUCGUUGGCCUAAUGUCCAUGAUUGACCCUCCCCGUGCUGCUGUGCCUGAUGCUGUGGGAAAGUGCAGGAGUGCUGGAAUCAAGGUUAUCAUGGUCACUGGUGAUCAUCCCAUCACUGCUAAGGCCAUUGCCAAGGGUGUGGGCAUCAUUUCUGAAGGAAACGAGACUGUUGAGGACAUUGCUGCUCGUCUGAACAUUCCAGUCAAUGAAGUUGACCCUAGGGAUGCCAAGGCCUGUGUGGUUCAUGGCGGUGACCUCAAGGACCUGAGCGCUGAACAGUUGGACGACAUCCUGAAAUAUCACACAGAGAUUGUGUUUGCCAGAACCUCUCCUCAGCAGAAGCUUAUUAUAGUGGAGGGCUGCCAGCGCCAGGGUGCUAUUGUGGCUGUGACAGGUGAUGGUGUGAACGAUUCUCCUGCUCUGAAGAAGGCUGACAUCGGUGUUGCUAUGGGGAUCUCUGGAUCGGACGUCUCCAAGCAGGCUGCAGACAUGAUCCUCCUGGAUGACAACUUUGCCUCCAUCGUGACUGGUGUUGAAGAAGGCCGUCUGAUCUUUGACAACUUGAAGAAGUCCAUCGCCUACACCCUGACCAGUAACAUUCCAGAAAUCACACCCUUCCUCUUCUUCAUCAUCGCCAACAUUCCACUGCCCCUAGGAACCGUCACCAUCCUCUGUAUCGACUUGGGAACUGACAUGGUCCCCGCCAUCUCCCUGGCCUACGAAGCUGCUGAGAGUGACAUCAUGAAGAGACAGCCCAGAAACUCCAAAACAGACAAACUGGUGAAUGAAAGACUUAUCAGCAUAGCCUACGGUCAAAUCGGUAUGAUCCAGGCUUUGGCUGGGUUCUUCACAUACUUUGUGAUCCUUGCUGAGAACGGGUUCUUACCCUCCAGACUGCUAGGUAUUCGUGUGGACUGGGACAACAAAUUUUGCAACGACCUGGAGGAUAGCUAUGGUCAGCAGUGGACUUAUGAACAGAGAAAGAUUGUGGAGUUCACCUGCCACACAGCAUUCUUCGCCAGUAUUGUAGUUGUACAGUGGGCUGAUUUGAUCAUCUGUAAGACCAGGAGGAACUCAGUCUUCCAACAAGGAAUGAGGAAUAAGAUUCUCAUCUUCGGCCUGUUUGAGGAGACCGCCCUGGCCGCCUUCCUGUCCUACUGUCCUGGGAUGGGCAUCGCCCUCAGAAUGUACCCACUCAAACCCAGCUGGUGGUUCUGCGCCUUCCCAUACUCUCUCCUCAUCUUUAUUUAUGAUGAAAUCCGAAAACUGAUCAUCCGACGCAGCCCAGGAGGUUGGGUGGAGAGGGAGACGUACUACUAGAAAGCAUCCCGUUUGCAUCGCUCAAGUUCUUGCAUGGUUGUCUUGCUGCUCGGAAUUUUAAAUUCUGUAAAAUGUGGCUGUGUUUUUAUAUAGGGACUGCGUGAUACUAAAACACUGAGAUCGAGAUGAUGAACCAAGACAUUUUACAUUGUGUGCCUUGUUUCUGGAACAGGACCAAUUUUAUACAUGUUUUUAACAGUAAUAUAAAUAAACUUUCAGUCAGCUCCCA